rnacentral:rRNA from 1 species
AUUGAACGCUGGCGGCAUGCUUUACACAUGCAAGUCGAACGGCAGCGCGGGCUUCGGCCUGGCGGCGAGUGGCGAACGGGUGAGUAAUGCAUCGGAACGAGCCCAGUAGUGGGGGAUAGCCCGGCGAAAGCCGGAUUAAUACCGCAUACGACCUGAGGGUGAAAGCGGGGGACCGAAAGGCCUCGCGCUAUUGGAGCGGCCGAUGUCGGAUUAGCUAGUUGGUGGGGUAAAGGCUUACCAAGGCGACGAUCCGUAGCUGGUCUGAGAGGACGACCAGCCACACUGGGACUGAGACACGGCCCAGACUCCUACGGGAGGCAGCAGUGGGGAAUUUUGGACAAUGGGGGCAACCCUGAUCCAGCCAUGCCGCGUGCGGGAAGAAGGCCUUCGGGUUGUAAACCGCUUUUGUUCGGGAAGAAAUCCUCUGGGCUAAUACCCCGGGGGGAUGACGGUACCGGAAGAAUAAGCACCGGCUAACUACGUG